rnacentral:sRNA from 1 species
UCCAUAACAUAAUACUUAUGAAAGAAUCAACAAUUGUAGCUACCAAAAGCUAUACUUCGGUCAAACUUACGGUUCAUCGCAUCGCACGCAAGUCAGCAACUUUGGUCAUACGAACUCAGAUGGACUUUACAGAUUGAAACAAUCAAAAUGUUAAAAGAGGAAAAACAAAGAUUUCCCUCAUGAGGCUCCGCUGUAUCCUGAGCUGUAGCCACUGUAGCCGCCUCUCUUGGUUGUCCUGCUCUCGACUUCCUGGGUUUGUUGGCCCUCGCUGCUUGAUGCAGAGGGUAUCUGGCCAUACUCGCUGGUUGGUGCGCUGUAUUGACUGCUCGUAUCAUUAUUGUUGGUAAAAGCCAUCUUCCUGAACUUCUUCAUGUCCUCGUUGUAUUGGCCAGAAUCAUAGUCAGAGCUGCUGUACGAUCCAAAAUAGCGGCUGUGACCAGGCCGAACACCUUCAUUAAGAUCCUCCAAAGACACGUCACCUUCCAAAGCCCGGACAACCUGACUCAUGCGUGGGCGACGACGAGCGGAAUGGCGUACGCAUGCAGCUGCACAAGCAAUCAUUCUCGCCAUCUCAUUGGGAUUGAAAUCCUUCCCAAGCCGAGGAUCUACUAACUCCUCGUAGUUACCAUUCUCAAGUGCUUGCAUCAGUAAAGGCCUUGCCUGCACGUCUCAACCAAGCUGUCAUCCAUAUAUGUUUGACUUGUAUCAACUGGCCGACGACCAGUUAUUAACUCAAGAAGCAUAACUCCAUAGGAGAAGACAUCUGAUUUCUCAGUGAGCUUGCCAGAAGAUGCGUACUCUGAAUAUAUACAUACCCAAAAGUGCCCAUUACUCUUGUCGAAACAUGAGUGUUAUUAUCACUGGUGAACUUAGCAAGUCCAAAAUCAGCAACCUAUUCAAACUUAAAAUCAAGAAGAAUGUUUGACGCCUUAAUAUCACGAUGGAUGAUCUUAGGAUGGCCUUCUUCAUGAAGAUAAGCUAAACCCUUUGCAGCUCCCAAAGCAAUCUUUAGUCUUGUGGGCCACUCCAUUGUUGGUCGGCCUUUUCCUACGGAUGUGGAAUUCCAAUGUGUUGUUGGGGACAAACUCAUAGACAAGCAAUCUCUUGCCCCCAGAAAUGCAAUAACCAACC